UUGGUUUAGGAUUUGGUUUAAGGUUUGAUUAGGAUUUGAAUUAGGGUUUGAUUUAGGGUUUAGGAUUUAGGAUUUGGUUAGGGUUUGAUUUAGGAUUUAGGAUUUUGAUUAGGAUUUGAUUUAGGAUUUAGGGUUUGAUUAGGAUUUGGUUUAGGAUUUAGGGUUUGGAUUAGGAUUUGAUUAGGGUUUAUUUAGAGUUUAGGAUUUAGAAUUUUAUUAGGAUUUAAGAUUCAAUUAAUUUUGGCCUAAAGUUUUAAUGAAGUUCAAUAAGAUUUUAAUUAGAAUUAAAUGAAGAUUGAAUUGAGAUAUAUUUGAGUGAUAUUUUUGAUCCUUCUAAUAUUUAUUUAAGAAUUCUUAUUGUUUGUUUGAAAUUUCUUUGAGGUUUUUUUGAAUUUGAUUAAGCUUGCUUAGCAUUAUUAUGAUCUAAUUAGAGCAUUGUUAGUAUUCUA
rnacentral:lncRNA from 1 species